CCCCUCUUCCCCCUUCCCUCCUUCCCAUCUCUAUCUUCAUUCCAGGCACAAGGAAUACUAGAUGACUUGUACUCAUGCCUUGCCUCUAAGAGCUCCCAUCCAGCGAUUUGACAUGCUCAAGCAGCUAAAGCACACCCAGCCCUUGGGAAGGCUUUUGCAAGUGCCCUAGGAGGCAGGGAGGGGAGUAUCCCCGGGCAGUGUGGGUAAUAGGGGUAGCAGAGGGACUCUGGCGGGGGGGUUUCUUUUUUUUGUUGUUAGUAUUGAGUGUCAAGACCAUUUUUUAACCUUGUUACUUUCCAGUGAAAACACUUUUUUCAAGGCUUCCUUUUCAUGCAUGAGGUUCAUAGGAUGAGGCCCAGACUCUUGGCCUUCUAUACUCGGCCCCAAAGUAUAGUUCUUAAGCAGCGAUAUGGUGCAGAGGUUUGUGGCAUAGGCUCUGGAACUAGAAUAUCUGCAGAAUGCCUGUGUUUGAGUCCUAGUCAUUGACGAUGUGACCUUAGUAAGUUACCUAGCUUCUUUAUGUCUCAUCUGGAACAAGAGGAUGGCAAUAAUACCUACUUCCUAAUUUUAAGGAUGGUUAACUGGAUUAAUAUAUGUAAAGUGCUUAGCACAGUACCUGGCCCGUGAUUAGCACUAUGUAACUGUUGGCUAUUACUAUUCUCAUCCUUGACUCCUCCUAAUUCUCUUUAACCAGACAGGCCUGGUUAGCCUUGAACACCAUGCCAGCACAUUCCUGAAUGUGUCCCUUUAUGCUUGUGGCUCUCUCUGCACUCCCCACCCUUUCCUCCGGCUCAGGCUCGUGUCUCGCGCCCUCUGGAAAGCCUUCCCUGGCAAUUUAGCCCCAGGGCUUUGCCAGAACAUGCUGGCUGGACAGCUUACCUGGCCAUGAGACUCCUGGCUCCUGUCCCUCCCCUUCUUCUCCACGCUUGGAUUGUUAUGAAAUGCUCAAGUGCAGGGUUGGCCUGGGGCUGCUGCAUAGAGUGUACCAGCUGCGUCCUGCACAAGGGUGCAUGAGGGUGCCGGGCAGGGGAUGAACCCUGAGGCUAAAAUCUAGCCUGUGUUCUGCUCACCCAACCUGGGGACCAUGCUACAUCAGCCUGAAGGAAGUAUGGUGACUUCUGUAAACUGGCUGCCCAGAGGGGCCUCUUCUGAUUUGUAUGAAGGCACCAGGUAUGCCAGGCCUUUCCGUGCCCCCUGCCUCCCCAUCUGAGUGAUAAGCUCUUGGUGGGCAAGAUGCCCUUCGCAUAGUGCCUGACAGGACUGUGCACCUUGGCAGUGGUUGAAUGACGAAUUCAUGAAAUCCAGGUUCACUGUGUGCUAACGAGUCUUCCCAAGGGAACUUGGAGCCAGAGGCCUCAGACUUGCCUGCUGGCCCUGGCUGACUGAGGAAUGGGGCCCAGCCAGGGCUGUGGAGAUGGCUCCAGAGAGCCAGGAGAUCUAGGAGAAGCCAUGGAGAGGUAUGAAGUGAGUGUGAUAAAUAUUUGCAGGGCAGCAGCUGUGUGCCCAGUGCUGUGAUGAUUCCAUGGAAGAUAUGAAGAAGGUUCCCCAGGGCUUGGCAGCCAAGAGCCUGCCUGACCAGCCAGGAGGAGAAAGGAGCAGAGCUCUGCAAGGGCUUUCCCUACCUUGCCAGCACCUAGAUCCUCAGAGGAGACUGAGCCACCAGGGAAACACCAGGGCACGUUAAGCUGCAGUGAGCUGCACCUGCAGCCACGGGAAGGAACAGCCUCUGCGCUGUGGCCAGCAGCAGAGAGAGGUCUGGGAACGCCUUCCUCUCUUGGAGCUUUCUCCUCGAUCCUUCCCACUCCUCUGGCUGCUCCCUUCCCUUCCCUUCAGACCCUCUUGCUCCAUCUGCCCCUUAAACGCUGGUGUUCCCCAGGUCCCUCUGCCCUUUGUUCUCUCUUUACUCUUACAUUUCUCAAACUGUUUAGGUGUCAGAACACCUGGAAGUCGUAAGGAAUACUGUGAAAUAUCAAUAUACUUAAUUCAUGAUUA